rnacentral:lncRNA from 1 species
GCUUCGUGGACCAAGAGAUCCUAGAAGGCCUCUUGCGGCUGCUGAAUUGAGUUUGUUCUUGAUCUUCUGCUAUCAAAACCACAGAGCCAGGAAGAUCUAACACCAAGACACAGCUGCCACACACCCAGGAAAGAGUUCUACAGUUGCAUCUCAGAAGUUAUGUGAAUAUCUUCAUUUGGUGAUAAAGUCUGACUAUUAAGUCUUUUGUAGGUUUUUGGAACUAAUACCCUAACCCUAACCUUAAACCCUAACCCCCUUUGUG